rnacentral:rRNA from 1 species
UACGUAGGGGGCAAGCGUUGUCCGGAAUUAUUGGGCGUAAAGAGCGUGUAGGCGGUUAAGUAAGUCUGCUGUGAAAGUCCAGGGCUCAACCCUGGGAUGCCGGUGGAUACUGCUGGGCUAGAGUACGGAAGAGGCGAGUGGAAUUCCCGGUGUAGCGGUGAAAUGCGCAGAUAUCGGGAGGAACACCAAUUGCGAAGGCAGCUCGCUGGGACGUCACUGACGCUGAGACGCGAAAGCGUGGGGAGCAAACAGG